rnacentral:tRNA from 1 species
UCAUUAGAUAGCUUAAAGUAAGCAAUGGAAUUUUAAAUCAUAAAAUAAUAGUUUAACGUCUAUUUCUAAU